AGUGGUGUAAUUUGUAAGUCGCUCUGGAUAAGAGCGUCUGCUAAAUGACUUGCC
rfam:Salmo salar isolate Sally breed double haploid chromosome ssa15, whole genome shotgun sequence.